rnacentral:piRNA from 1 species
UGUGUUUCAUCAGUCUAUAGGAACCCAUGG